ACGACCAUACCCACUGGAAAACUCGGGAUCCCGUCCGCUCUCCCAUAGAUAAGCCAGUGAGGGCCGGAUCAGUAGUUGGGUCGGUGACGACCAGCGAAUACCUGGUGUUGUAUGUA
rnacentral:rRNA from 1 species